UCCAAUACAUUGUGGCUGAAUCCACUUCAAGUUGGGGUUUUUUUGGGGGUUUUUUUUGGUUGGGUUUUUUUUUUUUUUUUUGCCUCUCACAAAGGAGAAUCCCAGAUACCUAGAGGCCAGAGGUCCAGGGCGAUGGGUGGGCUGUGUCGGGGCCCGGCCCAGCCUGGCCUUCCGACAGCAUCCAGGCAGGCCCUCUUUCCCUCCACCGUCUUGGAUGGGCUUAAUUUAUUGUAGGAAACCCUUGAAGGCGCAGGAGCUUUUGGAGAGCCGGGGACAAUAGGCAUAAAGCAUGCAUUUAAGCCGUCUGAAUGGAGGCUAGAUUUACUGUCUGGGCCAGACGGGAUUUUUGUCCCCAAGUCAUCUCGGAGUACAUUGGCCACUAAAGAUCUCAACAGAAGACGAAGACGGAACAAAAGAAGUAAAUUUUAAAAGGAACUUUGUCAAGGAGUUUUAGAUGUUCACCAGAUAGAAAACCGCGGCUGCCCUCACCGAAAUGACUUUUGGAUUUGCCCAGUGGUUAUGGAUCAGAGGAAGAUGCUAAUGAAGUCGUUUAAAUGCACGUUUGAUGGACCCCAGAGAAUGGGACCAAUUUCAUACAAGCCCACAGCAAGGUUAAGGAAUGAAAGAAGGUGGCCGUUAGAGUUGCUGCCGGGGACAAGGCUCCAUUGUCGGGGCUGCCUUUUUCAGCCGUGAAGCGUGAAGCGUGUUUUGAACUACAGUGUUUACCAACGUGUACAUCCUAGUCUGGCCGACCGGGCCUGCAGAAUUUAUGACCAGGAACAAACCUCUUAGAGGGGAAAAGAAAACAGCUCUUACCAGCUGGGAAAGGAGCUCAGAUCAUGCCCUGGAGAAGCAGGUGACAUCGCGGAAUUUUCCUGUUCCAGAUGCCAGAAGUCUGAAAUGAAGGUGUAAAGCAGGGUGGUUCCUUCUGGAGGCUCUGAGAGAAUCACCCCAGGCCUCUCUCCAGCUUCUGGUGCUGGUAUUCUCAGGCUUGUAGGCGCAUCACCCAUGUCUGCCUCCAUCUUCACAUGGCCUUCUCCUCUGUGUCUGCCUGAAGUCUCCCUUCAUUUCUCUUGUAAGGACAUCAGUCAUUGGAUUUAGAGCCCACCCUAAACCCAGAAUGAUCUCAUCUCAAGAUUACAUCUGCACAGACGCUAUUUCCAGAUAAGGUCACAGUCAAAGGUACCAGGGGUUAGGAUAUGAACAUAUCUUUUUGAAAGACACGAUUUAACCUACAGCAGGUGCUCAGGGCAGUUGGGUGGGGGCCUGUGCUAGGGGCCCAACAGCCAAGGCUUAAAGCCGCACUCCACACCUAGGCCUGUGACACCUCCCACAAGCUUCUUCACCUCUCAAGCCUCAACUUCUACUUCUGCAAACAGGGAACAAUAAAAGUAUCUCCCUGCCCCCACCUUGCAGGGUUUCCAGUUCCAAUGUCUACACACUCACCUGGGAGUUAUCUGAAAUUGUUGUUCACCUGCUUAAACCUUUUGAGUUUCCAGCACCCCCCAGAAGUCCCCACCCUCUAGUCCCUUAGCAAGAUACUGGCCCUGCGUGAGCUUCCCACCUUCCUUGACAGCUGCAUCUCUCAUCAUUAGGACCUGGGCAACACUGCAGAAUAUGGCAGGUCUUCCCUCAUCUCUGUGCUUUGCCUCCAUUCCCUGACUUCUCUCCCAUCCUCCUCCUGUCACCUGGCCUCUCCCCAUCCUACUGGCCUUAAAGCUCAGCUCCUGAAGCCUCCCUGAUGCUCCUCCCUUCAUAGCCCCUCCCAGCCUGGCCACGUGGGCUCGGGCAGCCCAGAGCCUGGGCCUCCUGGUCACACUCUGAGCACACAGCCCAUUUUCUCUCCAGUGCUGGCUUGUGUUUGACACCAUGCCUGACACAUUGGGGGUGCUCAGUAGACCUGUGUGAGAUGGACAGCCUCCCGUACAGAUGGACGGACAGAUGUACAGGUAGGUGAAUGAACUUUCGUUGCCCCUAAAGCAGGAGAGACUCUGAGUUUCUGAGACAACGGCCAAGAACUUUCUGAUAAGAUCUCUGCAUUUAAGGUUCAGAAAAACUCGAUGAGGACAAUAUUUUUCUCCCGAUUUUGCAGAUAAGAAAAUAGAGGCAUAGAGAAGUCACUUGCUAGUAAAUGUUAGAGGCAGCUUUCUAACCCAGGUCCAUGUGAACCCAGAAAAAGAGGCAGUGAGCACCUGUUCACCCAGGAGCAGCUCUCAGAAGAUAAGAUAAUACGAGGAGGAGGCAGCAGACCCCUAUGCCACGCGUCCACCUGGGGCUGUCCAUCACUUCCUGCAAGAUCUUGCUGGUAGCCAGAUUCUCAGAGACCCCCAGUGAGCCCCGCCUCCUGGUUUUCACACCCUGUGUAGUUUCCUUUCCCCAGGGAUGGUCCAAGUGACCAGCAGCCCGUGGCAGAAGUGAUGGAAUAGCACUUCCAAGCUUAGGUUAUGAAAGAUUGCAGCUUCAAUCUCCUGCCCCACACCCCGUCUCUCUCUCUAACCCCACUCCCUCCCUCCCUCUCUCAUCUCUGACUCUGGGGGAAGCACACUGCAGCCCCGUGGAGAUGCCCUGUGUAAGCCACUGAAGCCUCUGGCCAACAGCAGUGGGAACCUGAGACGUGUCCACAAGCAUGCAUGGGAGCUUGGAAGUGGAUCCUUCAGCCCCAGCCAAGCCUUCAGACGAUGCAGCCUCAGGGACAGUAUGACUGCAGCCUCAUGAGACCCUGAGCCAGAAACACCCCUCCAAGCCACUCCCAGAUGCCUGGCCCUCAGAACCUGGGAGGUAAUAAAUAUUUAUGGCUGUUUGAAGCUGCUGUAUCGGGGGACAAUUUGUUACACAGUAAUAGCUAACUGGUGCAGUCCUGGGACUCUUAGCAGUUUGGAGUAUCAGUUAUUUUGCCAAGGCGGGGAAGUUAACAGUGGUCAUUGCAGCAGCUGCACUUGGGGACCACAAUAAAGAAGCUUUCUCAGACUGGUUUGAACAAAGUGGUGAAUUCUCUGCAAGGACACAGAGGUGUCUCUCAAAACCCAAGGAUGGGACAGCAGGCCUCAAGAAGAACUGGAACCUCUGUCCCUUCUGUGCUUCUUUUUACUCCUGUGUUCUCUGCUUCUUGGAGCACUUGGCAGUUGGGAAGUGGCCAUUUCAAUUCUCGUGGUCAAGAAACCAGCUCAGAAAUAACCCAACCAACACAGGUGGGGUCAGGUGUCCAUCCUGGCUCCAUUUGUCAUGGCGGGAGAUGGUGAUGAAGAGAAACAUCCAGGACCAUUGGUAGGGCACCCGAAUGAGAUUCCAGGAGAGGCCAGUUCUAAGAGAAGGGUACUAGAAAGAUACCCAUUGAAGUCAAUACCACAUGUGGCACAUCCUCCUUUCAGGUGGCAAGUGUGUAGCCAAAGCAAGGUUCAGGGUCCAUAUUUGAAAGUCAGAAACUGAAUAAACUGUUUUCUCCCACCCCGAGCACUGUGGGGAACUCUGCUCACAAAUCCACCAUCCACCAUCACCAGCCGUGCUCAUCUGACCAUUCAUGCAGGCUCACACUUGACCUGAUGUGGGUUCUGUCUCCUUUGCUUGAGAAUUGAAAGGCCUGGGAGAUGCAAAAGCUUUAGGCUCCAGCCAUCUCCCCAUGUCAGGUAGGCCUUUUGCCUAGUGUAUCCAGUUGGUAAUGCUGCAGAGAUGCAUGAAGCUGGAGUCAGAGGCCACCUGUAGUGCUGCCCUGACUUCAGACCUGAGCCCAGCCCAGCAGCAGAGAGGGGGCUGGGAGCCAGAGGAGGCCUCACAGUAACAGCACAGACAGGUGGGGGCCCACAACAGGCCACAUGUGUUCAAACUCGAGUGUGGGCAGAGGAGCAUGGGAAGCUCAGAGCCCUGAGCUCACCCCACACCCAACACGAGUGGGGUCACCCAAAAUCAGCCUGUCAGCACUGUCCCAGCAGCCAGUCGCAUGCUACAUUAACAAAUUUUGCACAGGCCAGCAAGCAGGAUCGCUCACCAGCCACCCUCCUGAACUGGCCUAUGGGGCCCCAGGAUGAUGCCAUAGCCACAAGUCUGGAGUUCCUCAAAGUACCUGGUCAGCACAACUCAGUUAAACAAUGGGCAAAAGACCUGAACAGACACUUCGCCAGAGAAGAUGUACAGAUGCAAGUAAGCAUUUGAAAAGGUGCCCCACAUCGUAUGUCGUUAGGGAAUGGUCCAAUCCAGAACACUGAUGGCACCAAAGGCUGCUGAGCAUGUGGAGCAGCAGAACUCUCAUUCACUGCUGGUGAGAAAAAUGGCGCAGCCCCAAUAGGGAACCCUAAUGCAGACUCUGGACUUCACUGGAAAUGACGUGUCAGUGUAGCUGCGUCAGUUGUAACAAAUGCACCAGUCUGGUGGGCGUGUUGAUAACCGGGGCUGCGCACGUGGGGAGAGAGGACCUGUGGGAAUGCUCUACUUUCCACUCAUUUUUGCUGUGAACUUAAAACUGCUCUUACAAAAUAACAUUGUUUGUUGUUGUUGUUGUUGUUGUUGUUGUUGUUGUUUUUAAGUAUCUAGUCAGCUCCACACAUGACCCGGGCAGAGUGGGAAGUUGUAGAGUGCCCCAAGGAGAGAAAUGGAACCAGGUCUCAUGUGGGGCCAAGUGUGGGCUCCCUGUCCUCUCAGCUGGUCCCAGGAACUGAAGGGAAAUUUAGACAACUUGGAGAAAGACACUCUAGGGCUCGGGGCAAAGGGUGGUGUUGAUGAGAACCAUAUUUUUUUAUUGCUGGUGUAAGCACUUGUAUUUUUCUGAUUUUCCACUGGUUCGAUAAUAAGGGUAAAAGACAAUAAAGCAUACUUUUUAAGCUUU
rnacentral:lncRNA from 1 species